UACGGGGGGAGCAAGCGUUGUUCGGAUUUAUGGGCGUAAAGGGCGCGUAGGCGGCCACCGCAAGUCGGUUGUGAAAUCUCUGGGCUUAACCCAGAAAGGUCAACCGAUACUGCGGGGCUAGAGUGCAGAAGGGGCAACUGGAAUUCUCGGUGUAGCGGUGAAAUGCGUAGAUAUUGGGAGGAACACCAGUGGCGAAGGCGGCUCACUGGACCGGUACUGACGCUGAGGCGCGAAAGCGUGGGGAGCAAACGGG
rnacentral:rRNA from 1 species